ensembl:misc_RNA Metazoa_SRP Metazoan signal recognition particle RNA
GCUGGGCAUGGUGGCGUGUGCCUGUAAUCCCAGCUACUCAGGAGGCUGAGGCAGAAGAAUUGCUUGAAUCCAGGAGGCGGAGGUUGCAGUGAGCUGAGAUAGUGGCACUGCACUCCAGCCUGGGCAACAGAGCGACACUCUGUCUCAA